rnacentral:rRNA from 1 species
GAUGAACGCUGGCGGUAUGCGUUACACAUGCAAGUCGUACGGAAGUUUUUACUUAAGUGGCGGACGGGUGAGUAACACGUAAGAAUUUACCUUUAGGAAGGGGAUAACAACUGGAAACGGUUGCUAAAACCCUAUAUGCUUAUUAGUGAAAUGGGAAACCAGCCUAAAGAAAGCUUGCGGCUGAUUAGCUUGUUGGUGAGGUAAAAGGCUUACCAAGGCGACGAUCAGUAUCUGGUUUGAGAGGAUGAUCAGACACACUGGAACUGAGACACGGUCCAGACU